rnacentral:tRNA from 2 species
GUGGGCGUAGUUCAGUUGGUUAGAAUAUCGGAUUGUGAUUCCGAGGGUCGUGGGUUCGAAUCCCAUCGCCCACCCCA